AGUGAACGCUGGCGGUAGGCCUAACACAUGCAAGUCGAACGGCAGCACAGUAAGAGCUUGCUCUUACGGGUGGCGAGUGGCGGACGGGUGAGGAAUACAUCGGAAUCUACUUUUUCGUGGGGGAUAACGUAGGGAAACUUACGCUAAUACCGCAUACGACCUACGGGUGAAAGCAAGGGAUCUUCGGACCUUGCGCGAUUGAAUGAGCCGAUGUCGGAUUAGCUAGUUGGCGGGGUAAAGGCCCACCAAGGCGAGGAUCCGUAGCUGGUCUGAGAGGAUGAUCAGCCACACUGGAACUGGGACACGGUCCAGGCGCCUGCGGGAGGCAGCAGUGGGGAAUAUUGGACAAUGGGCGCAAGCCUGAUCCAACCAUACCGCGUGGGUGAAGGAGGCCUUCGGGUUGUAAAGCCCUUUUGUUGGGAAAGAAAAGCAGCAGGUUAAUACCCCGCUGUUCUGACGGUACCCAAAGAAUAAGCACCGGCUAACUUCGUG
rnacentral:rRNA from 1 species